GACGAACGCUGGCGGCGUGCCUACUAAAUGCAAGUAGAACGCCGUUGCGAACGGGUGAGUAACGCGUAUGUAACUGCCUCAUAGCGGGGGAUAACUAUUGGAAACGAUAGCUAAUACCGCAUACUGUGAGAUGGACCUGCGUUGUAUUAACUAGUUGGGGGGGUAAAGGCUCAUCAAGGCGACGGUACAUAGCCGACCUGAGAGGGUGAGCGGCCACACUGGGACUGAGCGACGGCCCAGACUCCUACGGGAGGAAGCAGUAGGGAAUCUUCGGCAAUGGACGGAAUUCUGACCGAGCAACGCCGCGUGAGUGAAGAAGUUUUUCGGAUCGUACAGCUCUGGUGUUAGAGAAGCGGUAACUACCCAGAAAGGGACGGCUAACUACGUGCCAGCAGCCGCGGUAAUUC
rnacentral:rRNA from 1 species